rnacentral:rRNA from 1 species
GACGAACGCUGGCGGCGUGCCUAAUACAUGCAAGUCGAACGCAGUGGGGACGGGUGAGUAACCCGUGGGUAACCUCCAAGCAGAGGGGAUAACACUUGGACACAGGUGCUAAACCGAUACUGAUGGAUGAACCCGCGGUGGAUUAGCUAGUUGGUGAGGUAACGGCUUACAAAGGCCACGAUGCGUGGCCGGCCUGAGAGGGUGAUCGGCCACACUGGGACUGAGACACGGUCCAGACUCCUACGGGAGGCAGCAGUAGGGAAUCUUCGGCAAUGGACGAAAGUCUGACCGAGCAAUGCCGCGUGAGUGAAGAAGGUUUUCGGAUCGUAAAGCUCUGUUGGUAGAGAAGCGGUAUCUACCCAGAAAGCCACGGCUAACUACGUGCCAGCAGCCGCGGUAAUAC